rnacentral:rRNA from 1 species
GUAUUGGGAUUUUUUUAAGUCUGGCGUAGAGGCGGGGGUUUAGGUGCGGGUUAGGGGAGGUGGUCUGGCGGCGGCGGCGGUUUGGAAGGGUUGCGGCGGCGGCGGUUUGGAAGGGUUGCGGCGGCGGGGGUUUAGAAGGGUGGCGGCAGCGCGCGACGGCGGGGGUUUCGAAGGGCGGCGGCGGCGCGCCGACGGAAGGUGAGUCAGGUGGCGGCCGUAUCGGGGAGUGGUGGUGUUGGCGAGACGGCGGGUGUUUAGCUCUGGGAGGUGUCCUGACGUUCCGGAGGCGGGGGUUGGUAGGGUGGUGGCUGCCGUCGAGAGGUUGGCUCGUGAAGGCGGCAGCGGGAGGUAGUGCCGUCGGGGAGGCGGGGAGGCGGCGGGGGUUGUUGGUUGUGUGACGACGGCUGGUGAUGACAGCAGCGGAGUGAUGUAUCGCCGCGGCGGCUCGUGGGCUAACUGUACCUCGUCGUGGCAGCAGCGGCUCGGUGGGGUGGCCGCCGGUGGUAGGAGCGGUGGUUGGAUGAGCGCGUGAAUGAGGAGCUCGUCCGGAGGGGCCUUCGAAGUGGCUCGUGGUUCGGCGCCCAGGCGGAGGAGGUGUGCGCGGGAGCUUCGUCGUCCAGCAGCUGGGAGAGGAGUUGUAGGAAAGACACCUGAAGUGACGGAGGAUAUGAAGUAAACUGUCCGUUAGAAACACUUUAACCAGUUCUUACCUGUUCUCAACCUACCCCUAAUGCUACUCUACGAGUUAGAAUCACUGGUACUACUCCAAGUUGGACUACUACACGUUCUCCUCUAGCUGGAUCUACUAAUGCUACUCUACGAGUUCAAGAAUCCAGGGUUUGCUGAUCUCUACAACUACUGUACGGUUCACUGCCGUAACUUCUCGUACUUCUGGUACUCAACCUAGUUUUUUGCUUCCCCUUCUUCCCUUUUUUUCGUGAUCUUACGUGUUACACAUACUAAAGACUACAUGAUACAACACCUACGGUUUGACUUCCUAACCCAUUACCCUUCGCGACACUACAUAGCGUACCGGUAUGUUCGUAAACCUUCACCUGUUCAGGUACUGCUUUCGUCCUUACGCUGGUGUUCGUUCGACUCUAAAGGGAUGUCUCAACUACCUCGAAACCUUCUAGAAGUUAGACGACUUCUCAACCCUCUAAACCUUCUAGAAGUUCGAUCACUUCUAAACCAUCUGGAUAUUAAUUCAAGCAUCUCACUAAUACUGUGAACGAGACGAGUAAAACGACCAACAAUUCGGUCACAUACGAGUAAAACGAACGCACCGUGUGGGAUCUUUGUAUACAUGAGGAAAACACCGUGUGUAAAUCUUUGUACUACAUAACAUGGAAAACACCGCGCUGGUCGAAUAUGUAUACCAACAAUACAAUUAAAUAGCUUAGUUGAAAUUCCAAGACCCACUCCC